AUCUCCCAAUUUUUCCUUUUCCUUUUUACGAGACACCAUUGGAAAUUUUACGGCUACCAUGAAGUCGUUCGGAAUUUAUGCUAAUUUGUUCUGUAGAAAACGUGUUCGCAGAAGCCAUGUUAUGUUCAAGCUGAAGGGAUGUUUGAAAGAUGAAAGUCAUCUUAUGAUGAAAUUUAGUUGCCGAGAAAUGCCGCCCAAGAAGUGAGUGUAAAGAUAAAUUAUCAUUUAAUAAUUAUGUAUAAACCAGAAAUGUAUAUUUUGGUUGGAUAUGGAAGAAAACUGGAAUUUACUUGACCUAUGUGUGCGUAGUACGAUACGGUAAUUCGCUGUGCAUAAAAAAUGAAGCGAUACGUGACCGAUAUUGGUACUCGUACACGUAGGUCGAGUUGAAAUUAUAACAUGUAUCAAUUUGGUAUAAAACAGACAUGACAUGGAGAUAAAUGUCGCUCAUUUUAUGAUAAAAGAUAUUGAAUUUCAUAAGGUCAAUUUAGAAAUGGUUCAGAAUUCUGUGUGAUAGAACGAUUAUUUAUUUUACAAACAUAGAGUGGUUAGAAGACUACAUUCUCAGAUAAACAAACAUGAAACAAUGAAUGAGUCGUUUCAUAUAAAAAGAUACCGAUAGUUUUCAUAUUGACUGAAGGUUUCGAUUAAUUUGUGGAAACAGAUAGAAAAGGAAGUUUGAAUUUUACGUUGAUAUGAACGAUGAAGUGUUAUAUUGAUAUUCUGAGGCUUAUAAUUUAUCAAUGAAAGCCUACUUGUUUAGGGAUAGGUUUUUGAUAAUAGGCCAUUAACUUUUUAUUAGCUUUGAUACAAAGGAUAAAAGCCAAGCAUUUGUGAGUUAUUUAUCAAACAGAUAGAAACAAUAGUUUGUGUAUUGUUUUGUAUAAAAUCUAUAACAAGCAUAGAAAUGAUGCAUUGCAGAUACGUCUACUUUUUAUAUACAUUUACAUUAGUCACAUUUAGAUUAUCCUUCAAGGAAGUGUGAAGGUUAGCUCAAGGUCAAAUGUUUUUUUUGGAGGUUAAAUGCUAUUUGAGCCUAAGGAAAUAGGCUCAUGUAAUUAGAAAUUGCCAAGCCAUAUUUUUUAGCUUUAAAUGAUCAAAUGGAAUGCGUGUAACGCAGGUUUUAUUUGAUUAGUCUUAUUCAAGACUGGUGUGUUUAUUUAUGAAUGUGUCUUUGGAUGCAAGACUUAAAUUUAAAGUGACAUACAAAGUGUCAGUCAUAUUAAAAUGACAGGCAAGUUAAACAUAAUUAACGAGAUGAAGCACUUGUGAUUCUCGUAAUUUAGAAUAAUAUGUGUGAGCUUCAAUAAGGACGAAGUUCUUUAAUUUAUGCAAAAAGCAUACCUAUAAAAGUUAAAGUGUUUUGUUAUACACCAAACGUUAGCUUUUCCACAUUUGAAAAGUACAUACAAAUUAUGACAUGGCUAAGACUAGAGGCCUCAUAUCUAUUCGUAUUGAGGCGAAAGCCUUUGACUUACAAUUUAUUGUUCAUUUUCUAUAUAAAUGACAAAAUGACUUGAGAUAUUUGAUAUGUAAAAUCAAAGUCAACAUUUAUUUGUGCAAAUAUUGAACAAAUACUUAUGAUGCAUUCAUUUCUGUUUUUUCUAUACAGAUUGAAUAAAAUUGCAGACUAAUGCAGCCUAUGCAAUUCCAAAGCGGUUUUUCUUGGUCGAUUGUUCUUCCGAUCUCAGUGAUCCAACAAUUCAAUUUCGCUGUUAGACGGGAUACUGGGUGUGUUGAGGAACCAUGACGGAACUGGAAAAGAGCCUCAAGUUGAAGAGAAGAGGUGCCAAGGCCAGGUUUACACGAUUGGGAAAUGCCUUGGAUUUCCUGGUAAAUGAAGAACGCUCUGUUGAUGAUAUAUCCAAGGCAGAGUCGGACUAUGAGGAGGCCUACAAAGAUCUUCAGGUGAAACACGAAGCUCUUACUGAUACCAUUGAAGAUGACUCUGUCUUUGAAGAGGAAGAGAAGUAUAUGGAUGAAUGCCAGAAAGUGUUCCUCAGGUUACAGGUCAAAGUAAAGGAUUACUUGGAAAACUUAGCUGCGGCUAGUGAUGGACAACCUGUAGGAAUGCAAGAUGUACGAGAUGCUUCUCCUAUGACAGAUAGUAGUCAAGCACAUGGAACAAGAGUAGGAACUGAGCCAUCGUGUUUCAAGAUGGAAAGACCUAAGCUACCCAAGUUCACUGGCGACUUAAGGGAGUAUCAUUCUUUUAAGGCUGACUUUCAGCAUGUGGUUCACCGACAGUAUGGAGGAAGAGAUGCUCUAAUGAUCCUUAAGUCCUGUCUUUCUGGAAAGCCACUGCAGAACAUACAAGGACUGGGGCAAGAUUAUGAUGCUGCUUGGAAGCAACUGGAUUUGCUGUACGGCGAUCCACGGAUGAUUGCUGAUGUUAUCGUGAAUGACCUCUCAAAGAUCAAAGGCCUAAAGAAUGGAGAAGAUGAAAGGUUUGUGAACUUUGUGAACCUUGUACGACGAAGCUACAAUUCACUCAACGAGAUUGGCAGAGGUAGUGAUAUGAAUAAUAGCCAUAUGUUAGCCUUGAUCGAGAGGAAGAUGUGUGUAGAGGAUCGACGGCUAUGGUUCCGUUCUCAACAAGGGAACACGUCGCCUACAUUGGAGGUCCUUCUUCAAUUCCUGGAAGUGGAGAUGAAGGCAAGACUGCGGUCUUCAGCACCUGUCAGAAGUGAUGCAAGGUUUAAUGGUGCCGUUAAUCAAAUAUCAACAACAGUAGCAUCACCCAAAAGGACGGAAAACAGAUGCUGGGUGUGCAAAUCCGAUGGGCAUUGGACAGAUCAGUGCACAAGAUUUACAUCCAAGUCCCUAGAUGAGAGAAUGCAAAUGGUCAAAGACAACUAUGCUUGUUUUAGUUGCCUUAAAAAAGCAAGUAAGGAUCAUCGUAUUUCAACUUGCAAGAGAAAGAAACGGUGCACUGAAACAGUUGACGGAGUACAAUGCUCAUACUUCCAUCAUCCAUUACUCCACUCUGGCAAGAAACCCGAAAGAAAAGAAGGAAAUGUUACCAAACAAGUAGGGAUAACAGCAGUUGAUGAUGAUGAGGCCCUUCUUCCAGUUCUGACUGUAGAUGUGAUUGGCAACAGGCGAGCUGCAAGUACAAAUCAAGGAAAUCUAUUAUUAGAUUCUGGAUCACAGACCAGUCUGAUCAGGGAAGCAUUUGCUGAGAAGCUGAUGCUAAAAGGUGUGCCAAUUACUCUUACUAUGAUAAAAGUAGGAGGAACGGAAGAGGUGUUUCAUACUAAGAGGUAUCUGGUUCCUCUGAGAGAGUGUGGGAAGAGUUCAAGACCUAUUGUUAUCAGCGCCAUGAGUAUCCCCUGUAUAUCUGAGAACAUCGCUGCGGUGGAUAACGAGGCUCUUGCAAGGAGGUUCCACCUAAAGAAUGAUGAACUGAAAAGAGGUAGUGGUUCAGUGGACGUCUUAGUGGGUAUUGACAAUGCUAAACUUCAUGGAGGAGAGGUUCGAGAAGAUGGCUACCUCGCAGCUCGUCGAUCUCCUCUCGGCUGGGUGGUGUUCGGCGUAAAACCUACGGAUAAACCUAAGGACAGUAAAGUUUUUCAUAUCAAGAUGAUAUCAAAUCCUGUAGAUCUGACAGACUUUUGGAGUUCGGAGACGAUGGGCGUGAUACCGACGUCCUGUCAUUGUAUGCCGAGCGGUCUCAGUAGACAAGAGGAGAUUGAGGAACAGACGAUCAGAAGUUCUUGCAAGAAAGUAGGAAAUCAGUGGCAAGUCUCCUACCCAUGGAAGAAAGAUCCCAACCUUUUACCAGAUAAUCGGUCACAAGCGGAAAAGAUCUUGGUAACAACAGAGAAGAGACUAGCCCGAAAUGAGGUAUAUGCAGCAGCAUAUAAUGAACAGAUGAACGAAAUGGAAAAUUUAGGGUUUUCCAGAAAGCUUGCUGACAGUGAGAUAGACAGCUACCAAGGGCCAGUACAUUACAUAUCUCACCACGCAGUACUGCGGCCAGAGAAGAAAAGUACACCAGUACGCAUAGUGUUCAACUCUUCUGCUUCUUUUCAAGGCCACACACUGAAUGAGUACUGGAUGAAAGGGCCGGAUCUCCUUAACAGUCUUCUUGGAGUUCUACUUCGAUUCAGAGAGAGGAAAGUAGCUGUGUGUGGUGAUAUAUCUAAAAUGUAUCACAGAGUUCUGGUGCCAGAGUCCGACCAGCAUGUUCAUAGAUUCUUGUGGCGGAACAUGCAAAUUACCCGGUCACCAGACACCUACAUCAAGACUGUUCUGACGUUUGGCGAUAAACCUGCCCCAGCCAUGGCUCAGAUUGCGCUGAGAAAGACGGCCGAGGAAGCAGAGAGUAGACAUCCAGAAGCGGCCCAAGUACUAAAAACCUGUGUCUAUAUGGAUGACAUAUGUGAGUCAGUCACUGAUAAUCCGGAAGCCGAGAGACUCACAAAAGAGAUUGACCAGGUUCUAGCUGAAGGAGGAUUCAAGGUAAAAGGAUGGUUGUCCAAUCAACCAUUAACAGGAAACACCCAAGAGGAUAAAGAGAUGAGACUCCUUGAAACUAUGACAGAGGAAAAGGUUCUGGGUGCAGUAUGGGAGAAUAGCUCUGAUAUGUUCUCCUACAAAGUAAAGAUGGACCGAGAUGAGACAGACGAAGAUGUUAGCCUCAACAAGAGACAAAUAUUGAGCCAGAUAGCACGAGUCUUUGACCCGUUAGGAUUUGUGUCGCCAUUUCUGGUUCGUGCCAAGAUAGGGAUGCAGAAGCUCUGGGAAAAAGGCUAUGAAUGGGAUGAAAAACUGCCAGAAGAAGAUCAGAAGUGGUGGAUAGCCUUUUUCAAGGAAAUGAAAGAGUUGAGUGAGGUUAGGAUAGCUAGAAGCCUCACACCAGCAACAGCUGUUAACAAUCCCAUACUGUGUGUAUUCGCAGAUGCCUCUCAAGACGCUUUCGGGUCAUGCAUCUAUCUCCGAUGGCAGCUUGAAGGAGGGACAUAUGAAGUGAGGUUUGUGGUAGCCAAGUCGAGAGUAGCACCGUUGAAGAAGUUAACCAUGCCACGCCUCGAACUUCAAGCUGCUGUAUUGGCAACAAGACUGUACACCACCGUGAAGAAAGAACUGCGACUAGAGAUUGAAAAGGUGGUUUUCAUGACAGAUAGCCAGAUUGUUUUGUCAUGGGUUAGGAGCCAAAGAAAGCGAUACAAGCCUUUCAUCGCAGUGAGAGUGGCGGAAGUACAAAGCCAGUCUGACCCAGCUCAAUGGCGUUAUGUUCCCGGAAGUUGCAACCCAGCUGAUGAUGUGUCUAGAGGGCUGCCAACAGCAAAACUGGGCAACAGAUGGCUGAAAGGGCCAGACUUCUUGUACACCCCAGAAUGUGAAUGGCCAACUGGUGAUGGUGAAGCUGUACUGGAUGACGAAGCUGUACUUGAAGUGGAAAAUCGAAAGGUCUUUCUGGUUUCCAUGGCAACAAACCAGGAAGUUAUCAACUGUGAAAACUUCUCUAGUUGGAGACGUCUUGUCAGAGUAGCUGCCUACAUAUUGAGAUUUGUGCACAAGUUAAAGGAUGCACUAAAUGCUGACAAGAAAGAUGAUGAUAACCAAUGUUUGACACCAGAGGAGAUACAAGAAGGAGAGAAUAUGCUGAUCAGAGGAGCUCAAACCACCCUGAAAGCACGCCUUGACAAGGGGGAAUUCAAGACUUUGAGCCCCUACACUGAUGAAAAGGGAAUCAUCCGAGUUGGUGGUAGAACGGACAGAUCACUACUAUCAUUUGAUAUGAGACAUCCAGUGCUUUUGCCACGUGAAGACAAGAUAUCGUGGCUCAUAACUAGUGAGAUGCAUCAGGAAGGUCACAGUGGAGUAGCAGCCACUACUGGGAAAGUAAGAAAACGCUACUGGAUUUUGCAGGGACAUAAGCUUGCAAAAAUGAUCAAGUUCAGAUGCACGAAGUGUAGACAGAUGGAACAUGCAGUUGAGAAACAGCUAAUGGCAGAAUUACCUCAGCAAAGAGUAGCCCCUCAGACUCCCCCAUUCUACAAUACAUCUGUUGAUUAUUUUGGUCCAUACAGAGUGAAGAUUACCCGUAACACAACUGCCAAAUACUAUGGGGUAAUUUUCACGUGCCUCAACACAAGAGCAGUACAUCUGGAGAUGGCUACGGACUGCUCAACCAUGGCCUUUCUUCUAGUGAUCAGGCGGUUCUUUGCAAUUAGAGGCCAACCUGCCUAUCUAUUGAGUGACAAUGGUACGCAAUUUGUCGGUGCCGACAGAGAGCUGCGUGAGGUAAUCAGAGGUUGGGAUGCUCAGAAACUAGCUGAAUUCUGUGCAAGUAAGAGAACUGAAUGGAAAUUCACCACUCCUUCGGCGCCUCACCAGAACGGAUGUGCGGAAUCGCUCGUGAAAAGCUGUAAAUACGCCUUGAAGAAAGCCAUCGGAGAACAGCUUUUAACACCAUUUGAGCUAUAUACAUGUUUGUUAGAUAUAGCCAAUCUCAUCAAUCAGCGGCCAAUUGGUAGAAUUCCCAACGAUCCUGAUGAUGGGAGUUACAUUUGCCCAAACGACAUGCUGCUUGGUAGAGCGUCGCGUGAUGUACCUCAAGGCCCCUUUAGAGAUUCGCAGAAUCCUCGACAUCGGGUAGAAUUUGUUCAACAAAUCGUCGACUCCUUUUGGAAGCGUUGGACACGAGAUGUUCUACCUCUAUUAGUGCCUCGAAGAAAGUGGAAUGCGGAUCGUCGGAAUGUUCGUGUUGAUGACAUCGUUAUGCUUGCGGACGCAAACGAGGUUCGAGGAAAGUGGUUGCUAGGUCGGGUCGUUGAAGUGUAUCCCGGUCUAGAUGACAGAGUUCGCAAUGUCAAAGUGAGAACUGCAUCGGGUGAAUAUCGUCGUCCAAUCACCAAAAUCGCAGUUAUAUGCCCUGCUGAAGGUUAUACAGAUGAGUGACGUGUUGCCACCAAGUUAUACACAAGUGUUAAUAGUGUAUUUUUCAGUGUCAAGAAGAAAUAUUUUGUCAUAUAAGUGAAUAUCAAUGAAAAUAUGUUUGCAAUGAUAUUUAUGCAUUUUCUAAGCAUGAAGCACAGCAUAGUUUAUUAUACAAAGUGAAAGAGGAUAUUCACUUCCAUAUUUUUCUUCAUAAUCAAUUUUAUACACAAUAGGUAUUAACAUUCGCAUAUACACAAUAGGUAUUAACAUUCACAUAUACACAAUAGGUAUUAACAUUCGCAAUCAGAUUUCUUCGUGGUGGACCUCGCUCGCGACCAGUUUUCUUUUCGCCGGCAACACGUCAUCUGAACACUAGCGAACUUUUUUUUUGUCAAGACAAGCUCUACGUUGAUACAACUUACAUUUAUACAGACUGAACAUUGACAUUAUUAUACAAGAAGUUCAACAUUGACAUUAUUGACAACAUUGACAUUAUUAUACAAGAAGUUCAACAUUGACAUUAUUGACAACAUUGACAUUAUUAUAUAAGAACAUUCGCAAAGACUGAUCUCAGUUAUAUUGAAACAGUAUUUCAAUGAUGCAAUUAAUGUUUUGAAAGGAUGAUAAUUUUGGAUAUCGUUUUAUGUCAUCUUUUUCAACAUGUAUCAAAUCCAUUUAUUGCUAAUACUGUAUGUAUUUUCUGAAAAGUAAAAAAAAAAGAAAAAUUGUUGAAUAUUGAAUAUUUGCUGAGGCGUAGCCUCAUGGGCGGGGAGGAUGUUUUGUUGUGAAUCUCCCAAUUUUUCCUUUUCCUUUUUACGAGACACCAUUGGAAAUUUUACGGCUACCAUGAAGUCGUUCGGAAUUUAUGCUAAUUUGUUCUGUAGAAAACGUGUUCGCAGAAGCCAUGUUAUGUUCAAGCUGAAGGGAUGUUUGAAAGAUGAAAGUCAUCUUAUGAUGAAAUUUAGUUGCCGAGAAAUGCCGCCCAAGAAAUUGAAUAAAAUUGCAGACUAAUGCAGCCUAUGCAAUUCCAAAGCGGUUUUUCUUGGUCGAUUGUUCUUCAGAUCUCAGUGAUCC
rnacentral:misc_RNA from 1 species